CCUACGGGGUGCAGCAGUGAGGAAUAUUGGUCAAUGGGCGCGAGCCUGAACCCGCCAAGUAGCGUGAAGGAUGACUGCCCUACGGGUUGUAAACUUCUUUUAUAAAGGAAUAAAGUGAGGCACGUGUGCCUUUUUGUAUGUACUUUAUGAAUAAGGCUCGGCUAACUCCGUGCCAGCAGCCGCGGUAAUACGGAGGAUCCGAGCGUUAUCCGGAUUUAUUGGGUUUAAAGGGAGCGUAGAUGGGUUGUUAAGUCAGUUGUGAAAGUUUGCGGCUCAACCGUAAAAUUGCAAUUGAUACUGGCAGCCUUGAGUACAGUUGAGGUAGGCGGAAUUCGUGGUGUAGCGGUGAAAUGCUUAGAUAUCACGAAGAACCCCGAUUGCGAAGGCAGCUUACUAAACUGUGACUGACAUUGAUGCUCGAAAGUGUGGGUAUCAAACAGGAUUAGAUACCCCAGUAGUC
rnacentral:rRNA from 1 species